CCUGACGCCACUGUGCUGUUGCGUCUUGCGCAGCGCAGACACCUCCACUCUGGAUUGAAACGAAAAAGCUCGCGAUCCAACUUAGAAAUAAUGUUUCAUUCAAGAUAAGGCUCGUGGCUUAGGAGAUUGUGACCUGGCUUGCAUCAUUCUAAGACUUCUAUCGUCUGUUUUCAAAACCCAAGGAGGACCUCCUUUUCUGUGUGAUAGUUCCUCAUGCUUUGCCAGCCACUGGGUCUUUAAGGAAGCUUGCCAAGAGUUCCCGGCUGGGAAGGACAGUUCGAGUUCAUCAUAGACAAUGAGCUGGCACCACAGUUUAAGUGACUCACCAACCUGGUUGCCCACUUCAAAAUGUCAAGAACCACACUAUCUAAUUGAAAGAACUGUGUUUUAGCAAAGUGUAAUUGGAUCGCCUGGCAAGAUCAUCUCAAACUAUGUCUCUGACCUUGCCUUUCAGUGGCUAUUUUGAGCACAAGAGGAGAAAGGAAAUGAUUCCUGAAUUAUAUCUUGUUUUUAAAAAUUAAGAUUAAUUAAUACUUGGUUUUAUGUUCAUUCCAUUGUAGGAACUUAGUGAUUAUUACAAAACAGUCAAAAUAGGUCAUAGCAAAAUGAACGUUUAAGAUUAGGUUAAAACAUUCCUCUGAAAUUUUAGUAUUCACUUUUGAAGUGUCAAUUACUAUAUUUCUGUAAUUUCUCAUUUUUUUCUUGGCUUAGAGUCAAGAUGAAAAAUGAUAUUUGAAUCAAAGACAUUGUUUUGUUAUAUAGCCACUCCUUUCUAAAAUGCAAAUCCACCCUCCCCUCACCAAUGCUUUAUUCUUUGUGCGCGCACACACACACACACACACACACACACACACACACACACACAGACAUACACAGAACCAGCACCCAAAUGGUAGAGGAGGUCCUUCCAAGACUUCUAGGACCUGGAUCAUGUAAGCAGUAGAUGAGAAAAUGAAGUAAGAGAUAUAGAGUAAUAACAAUAAAAGUCAAUGAUUUCAUUUUACAAAAAAGUCAUUGUGUAGUACUCAGAUAUUUUUAAGAGCAAGUAUUAUUAUGACUAAAGUAUAUUAUACUUCUAAAUUAUUAUGAUUCUCAUCUAAUUUCAAGCCACACAUAGGCGCCAUUUGAAAGCAUUUUGUGUUACAACCUAUCAACAAAAAUCAACUAAUAGUUUUAUAACGUGCAUAGGUUUACCCCAUGGGGAAUUAAAAUUUUUAUCUGCAAGUAUUUCUGUUGUUGUGAGACUUUAGGACAAGACAACAUUUGGUGUUAACAUAGAAGAAUAUUCUAUGGCUUUUUUAGCUUUAAAGUUCAUUACUCUAAAAUAAAGUACACGUGGUAUUUUUUUCUUCCUAGUGUUCUCUUAUUAUAUGUAGAGUAUUUUCGGUUGUUGUUUUUAACGUAUACAUUAUUUUUAUUAAGUCAUUUCAUAAAAGAUAAGAUAUAUACUAAUAGACCCUUGGUUUUCUCCUAAUUUAAUUAUUUCAAGUCAAGCAAAAUUGGGCAAUUUUCUUUCAGGAAAAAAAAAAUAUUGAGCAUGAUUUUGAGGUAAAACUGAUUAUUUACAGCAUCUUUUCUCUAAUAGGCUAACAUUUAUGAUGGAUCUUAUUUCAAAGUUGAUUAUUCUCAAAGAAAAGUGGAGAUAUUAGAAUUUCCGAGUAAAUUGCAUUGUUUUAAAAAGUACUUUAAUGCAUUGUUCACAUUGUUGCCAGCUAUUGACCAAAAAAGAGAAGAAGAAAAAAGAAAUAAAAAAAGCAGUAUCUGCUCCAAACGUCAAGUUUUGCAGUUUGAAAGACUUGUACAUUAUAAUUGUUUUUUUCUUUUUUGGAAAGCAGUAGUAAUUAAUACCAAAGGCAUAGACAAUUUAGGGCCAUAACCUCCCUUCCCCCCUCUCCACCUUUUUUUUUUUUUUUUUUUUUUUUUAACUUUAACCAUGAUAGGCAUCUCUGCAAGGUAGGUUUUAACAUAUUUUUUUCCUAAUUUUUUUCCCUCCAUUCAGUAAGAAGGAUAAGCUUUUAGAGUACCCAGUCACCGUGGUAACUGCCAAAAAAAUUCUCCUGAAGUUUGAAGAGGUCAGCUAGCAGGGUCAACAACCCUGGCCUCUCUCUGAGCUCGGUCUAGCAUGCCCCAGCCUGCGGUUGGAGUGUCAGGCCAGAUCUGACCCUGGGAGGUGGACCAUUCUGGCUCUGAUAUAAAUUUUUCGAGUCAGUUCAUGGCCUGGACUCUCCAGGUGGCCUCCAAAAUCGAUUUUGACCCCCUGACCCUGUCUCACGGAGGCAUAGCAUCCACCCUAAGUAAGGAUUUAGCCAGGAAUGACAGCUUUCCACUGAGUGUUAUUGGGGACAGUAUAAACAGUUUGGAAAGCAAGUAAGGAGGUGUGAGGGCUAGCAAUCAUUAAAAGCACAUUAAAAAACAAUUUUUAAAAAUCUUUAUUAGAGAAAGUUGUAAAUGCAUAUCUGUUACAGAAUUCCUGUGAUUUGUAGAGUUUUCUAGUCAGUUUUGAAUAUAAAUAGGUCACAUAUCUUUAUCUUUUUGCAUACUUUGUUACAAAUAUGCAAAUAAGAUAGGCAUACUUGCUACAAAAUAGGUACAGCAGGAAUGUAAUAUGUUCAGAAAAGGCAAACUGGUUAUUAAAACACAUUAACAGGUAAGGAGUUUCUAAUAUUUUAAAUACUAAAAUUUUACAUGUGUAUUUUGAAGUUUUUAAAAUGGAAAAAUAAAGAACCUUUAAAAAACCCAACAGUGUGGAAUAAAGAUAAACUUGUUGCACUCAAGGUACAUUUCUACUUUGUAAAGCAAGAAGCCAAUACACUCAGUUGGAUAAAAAUGAGAGAAAAAUUGUAAAUAUAGAGAGUUACAGCUUAUAGAGCUGAAGAGGAAUAAAACAAAAAAAAGUGUCUCUGAAUAACUUUAUGUAUUUUCAACAGUUUAAGAUAUCAGAAACUUGGAAAAUAAAUAUGAUAUAUAUAUAAAUCAUCAGUGAUUAUUUCCUUUUCAUUCCCCCCCGCCCCCAGGAUGCCACCGUGAGUGUUUGAUUUUCUCUAGGAAAGUAGAAUUCUCUUUGAGAGUUCUAGCCUGUGAACUCAGUAUGUAAAUGUGGCCAUCAAGAAGACAGAACUGCCAAGAGGAAAGAUUAUGAAUGUUUUUCUUCCUUAAAACCAUUCACAGUGUUUCUUCUUCCAGUGCUUUACUCAGACUUCUCCCCUUUUCCCAGCUCUGUUGAAAAUGGCUUCAAAAGCAACACUGCAGUGGCUAAACCAAUUGUACUGUGAAGUUGUUGAGAUGCCAUUUCAUCUGAAUCCUUCGUAAAAAUUAGAUUUUUAAGUAGGGGUGAAUAUCCUUUUGGGAGAGGGAAUGGGAGGGUAGAAGAAGGGGGGAAAGGACAGAGCAGUUUAUAUAUAUAUAUAUAUAUAUAUAUAUAUAUAUAUAUAUAUAUAUGAGUAUAUAUAUAUGAGUAUAUAUAUAUAUGAGUAUAUAUAUAUGAGUAUAUAUAUAUGAGUAUAUAUAUAUGAGUAUAUAUAUAUGAGUAUAUAUAUAUAUGAGUAUAUAUAUAUGAGUAUAUAUAUAUAUGAGUAUAUAUAUAUGAGUAUAUAUAUAUAUGAGUAUAUAUAUAUAUACUCUUUGUGUUUGAAGGCCUCUGUGUCUUGGCUUCUCACUAUGUUAAAUCCCUAUUAUAAAACUUAUCUUCACAAAGCCUAUUAUAGUAUUCUGAGAACAAAUUGGACCAUGAAUAACUUAGUUGGAAGUGUAGAUUAUUUUCUACUCAGGGGAAGUUAGAGAUGACAACAGCUUAACUGAAAGAAUAGUGAUUAAUCUUAAAUAGAUGGAUUUCAAAGUUUCACUCUUGAUAAAGAGUACCUUUGAUAUUUCCCCUCUUCAGAAUCACGUUUCCACUCUCUUUGUAUUAAGAAUUGUCCUAGUGAUUACACUCUCCCCCUAAUACAGCUCAAAGUGUAGAUCAUUUUUUUUCCAGGUUGUUAAUUUGUCAGAGAGGUGACCAGAAAGACACUCUACUUCCUGUUGGUUAAAUCGAUGAUUCCUAAGUGGUACUAGGCUUAGAUACAAAAGUCAAUGAUAAGAAUAUCUUGCAUAAAUCAUAGCUUCUUACUUAGAUAAAAUUCUUAUUUAAAAAUUUUUAAUUUGCUUAAUGCCCUAUAGCUUACAAAGCACUUUUUAAAUCAUAAUUUUGUUUAAUCCUUAGAAUAAUGUUAUAAGAUAAACAAAACUCAUCAAUCCCAUUUUACCUGUGAUUGCACACUGUGAUUGAGCUAAUAAAUGGAAGAAUUGAGAUACCAACUCAGAUUUUGUAGCUUCUGUUUCAAGUGAUUAACCUGUAGCAACAGGCUUUUGAAUUAUUUUUGUGUUCUAUAUCCCUGAAGAUAAAGAUUCUGUAUUAAAGAGCCAAGAUUUUAUAUCUCACAAAUUAAAAACUUAAAAGACAUGACUGAAAAGAAUUCUGUUUACUUUAAAGUGAAUUUUACCAGUUAUUAUUUUUCUUUCUAUAUAUAUGCUUAAAUGGUCUUUCAGAACUGACGGUUUUAAUUUCCAAAAGUUAAACAUGGGAAGCUCUAUAUAAAUUAAAUAACUAUCUGGAAUUUAAACCACGUAUAUAAGAAACUUAGAUUCUAUAUUUCAAAGUAAAAUAUAGCAUAAGACUUUAGAAGCAGGUUCUACAUAUUAAGUAAUUAUUUGAGAAUAUGCCAUUGAUAAAGCUCUUGAGUGUUAGAGGCGAGAUUUCCCUUCAAUUUUAAAAAACUUUUAAAAUCUUUUAACAUCUUAGCAAGUCUGGAUAAACAAAGUCAAAGUCAUAUAGAACUACUUUUGUUCUCUUAGGCUUUUACUUUUUGUGUUUAAUAAAAAGGUUUGCAAAAUACUCUAGGAAAAAUAAUAAAAGGAUUAUUAACUUGACAUUAAUGUAAACCAUCUAAACAUUACAGAAAUCAAGAAAUACAAAUAGAUGACAUUAUUUUAUUCUUAGGUUUUUAAUUAUAUUGCUUUAAACAUGUAAUGUGGGCAGUGUAGAUGUUAAUAUGGAAAUUCUUAUUUUUUAUUUCUUAAAUUAUAUAAAAUUAAAUUAGUCAUUUUAUAUAUACUUAAAUUAAUGCUUUUGCCCUUGAAAUAUUCUAGCAGCCAGAAAAAUCUAGUUAAGCUUGUUAGCAUUAGACAAAAUGAAAAAGUGUAGAGAAAAAGAAAAGCGACUGUUCUGGUAUCAAUAAUGACAUAUGAUAACCUUUUUUUGUACUGAAGUUUUUCUACAAAAACAUGACAUUAGACUGAGGAUUUUUCAUUCUGAUGUGCAGGUUAAUGUUCAAGUCUCCAAAUACAAACUUCUAGUGUCUCCUCCAC
rnacentral:lncRNA from 1 species